rnacentral:rRNA from 1 species
UACGUAGGGGGCAAGCGUUGUCCGGAUUCAUUGGGCGUAAAGAGCGUGUAGGCGGCCAGGUAGGUCGGUUGUGAAAACUGGAGGCUCAACCUUCAGAGGUCGACCGAAACCAUCUGGCUAGAGUCCGGGAGAGGUGAGUGGAAUUCCUAGUGUAGAGGUGAAAUUCGUAGAUAUUAGGAAGAACACCAGUGGCGAAGGCGGCUCACUGGCCCGGUACUGACGCUGAGGCGCGAAAGCGUGGGGAGCAAACAGG